CGCUUCGGUCCGGAGUCAGUGGGUUACCUAUCAGACAACUCCCAUUGACAUCAACUUGACCGACUGGU
rnacentral:sRNA from 1 species